CACGUAGGGUGCGAGCGUUGUCCGGAAUUAUUGGGCGUAAAGAGCUCGUAGGCGGUGUGUCGCGUCGGCCGUGAAAACCUGUGGCUUAACUAUGGGCUUGCGGUCGAUACGGGCAUCACUGGAGUUCGGCAGGGGAGACUGGAAUUCCUGGUGUAGCGGUGAAAUGCGCAGAUAUCAGGAGGAACACCGGUGGCGAAGGCGGCUCUCUGGGACGGUACUGACGCUGAGACGCGAAAGCGUGGGGAGCAAACAGG
rnacentral:rRNA from 1 species